rnacentral:misc_RNA from 1 species
GACCUUCGACUCAUCCUCCUCAGUGCCAUAAUAUUUGACUAUAUUUGGAUGACUAAAUUGACACAAUAAGUUAACCUCUUGAUUAAUUUUGUCAAUUUCUCCUUUAUUUUUAAUUUGUAUUUCCUUUACGGCGAAAAAGAAACCGCCAUCAGCAUAUCCCUUGUACACUUUUCCGAAAAUUCCUCCUCCUAGAGGCUUCUUACGAUCCUUUCGCCACUUUGACUUUGUAAUAUUGAGUCUUUGUCUAUUAAUCUUCAAGAACUGGGACAUUAGAGGAUCACUUUCAUUGUUGUCAUGAUUCACAUGUGUUCUCUCACCAGAAUUAAAUCCAAGAUUUAAGUCUCCUU